GGCUAGUAUAUAAAGAGACUAUUAUAGAAUAUAAAAGGCUGUAUAUUAAACCAUUAGUACCGUAAAAAUGAUGGAGUAAUUUCCAUUUAUUAGGGAAAAUGGUAGAAGAAUUUCUAUAAAAAAAACGAAGUGAAUUGAAGUAUCUUAUUAGCUUCAGGAAAAUAAAUCAAACGAGAUUCUAUUAGUAGUGUGAAUGAAAAUAGAUAUAGGCUUAAAGUAAAAUGGAUUAAUCUGUUUGAAUAUAGGGGAACCUUCCUCUAAGCCUUAAUAUAAUAUACAAGAAAUAGCGAAUAGUACUGUGAAGGAAGUAUGUAAAAUAGUAGUCUUAUAAGCAGCUCAAGGUAAGUUUAAUAAACAUAUGAGAGCGUACCUUUUGUAUAAUGGGUCAGCAAGUUCUAGUUAGAUGCAAGCAAGUAGUGAUUAGUGGGGAUAUAUUAAAUUAGAAUAGAUAUCAACAAGAUAGACAAUCUAAUAAUAUAAAUACACAAAAAAAAAUCAAUUUGCCUAGAUAAUCCAAUUAUUAAGUAAUGAAUUAGUAUCUAAUUAGAGACCCGAAGAGUAGUGAUCUUACCAUGGUCAGGCUUAUAAAAGGCCGAAUGGGUUAUCGUUGUAAAGAUAUCCAAAGAACUGUGGUAAGUUAGUGAAAGACAAUCCUGACUACUAUAGCUGGUUUUCCGCGAAACAUAUGUAAGUAUGUAGUUUAAAUAACAUCAUAGCAGGUACAGAACUGUGAUCUCGGACAAUUUGUGCAUUAAUAUCCUAUUAGGGUAUAUAAUGCCUUGUGCAUAUGGGGGGGUCGUGAAGACUCUAUUCGCGAGUAUUUGCUCUCGGAAGGGCAAUGAUGAGUGUUGAACUAUCAGACAUUUAACGAUAAGGUUGUAUGUCAAAAGGGAAACAGCCCAGAACAAGUGUUUAAGGUUCCAAAGUUUUUGUUAAGUGAAAGUAAGGAAGUAUUUAAACUAUACAACCAGGAAAUAGGCUUAGAAGCGGCCAUUUUUUAAAGACCUCGUAACAGAGCACUGGUUCAAACGGUUAAUUAGUUAACCUUAUAAGUUAAAAGCGCCGAAGAUAUAACGGAUCUAAAACAAAACACCGACACCUUGUCCAUAAUAAUAAUAUUAGGUUAAAUCCGGCUCCGCAGGUUUAACCUGCGGAGCCGGUUAAAUCCUAUUUUAAUAUACUUAAAGGUUAUUUAAGUAUUAUUUAUGGGGUAGCGGAACAUUGGGUAAAUAGGAUUAAAAAUAGGUAAUAAACCCCUUAGAAUCUUUUUUAAUGUAUAAAAACUGGAUGAAUAGAGGGGAAGGAUACACCUAUUUUCAUUAUUACAUCUGUAAUUUGCUCGCUAAAUUGCGGGUUUCCAUAAAUAUCCCAAGUGAGAAUGCUGACACGAGUAACGAAAAAGAGGAUGCCCCUAAAAGGCCCUCUCGCCUUAAGCUUAUGGGAAAGUUAAUCGGUCUCUAAAUUAAACCUAAAGGAUAAAAUGAUGAGGAGAUUAUAUGUGACAACAUAAAGAAAUGGAGUAAAAUGUUCUGGAAAAGCAUAUAGUCUAAGGAUGUAGAUAAAAAUACUAUCCUUUGGGAUGGCCCCUAGAAAGGCCAGACCUAAAGGUUAGUCCCCUUCGGGGACUAGUAAAUAAACUAGAGAGAUAUUACUAGGCAUCCUUAAACAUAUAAAACCGUACCUAAAAACUACCACAAGUAAGCUAGUAGAGAAUACGAAGGCGUUUGAGCUAACAAUCAUUAAGGAACUCGGCAAAUUGACACCGUAACUGAGGGAGAAGGUGUGCCAUUCCUACUGAUUAAUAUCAGUUUAGGAAGAGGAGACAUAAAAUGGUGUUGCACGACUGUUUAAUUAAAACACAGCACUUUGCGUAAGAUGUAAAUCAAUGUAUAGAGUGCGCUAUCUGCCCAAUGAUGGCUGGUUAACGGAUUUACUUAGACGACUAAAAUAGGCUAGGUUUUGAAGGAACCCCCAUUUAAUGGCGGCCUUACCUAUGAGGGUCCUAAGGUAGCGAAAUACCUUGGCAUUUAAAUGAUGUCGCGCAUGAAUGAUCUCACGAUGCAACAGCUGUCUCAAUGAUUGGCUCAGUGAAACUGGAAUGGCAGUGAAGAUACUGCCUAUCUCUAGAUAGACGAGAAGACCCCAUGCAGCUUUACUGUUACUAGUUAUAGGGUAUAAUUUAACAGGUUUUAGUGAAUAAGGUAGUUGAACGACAAAAUUGAAACACCUUUACUCUGGUUGUUAUAUCAGUAGAAUAGGUUACAUUAUUGUAACUGACGUCUGAAUGUAAUCCAUAAAAGGAGGGAGAUUAUAUCAAGCUCAGGAGACAAUGGCUAGCAGAUGGUUUAUGCGGGGCACAGAUCCCAUAAAGAGUACCUGGGAGUAUCCAAAUUUAUUUUUGUAAUAUGCUAUACGCAAAUUAUAUAGGGCUUUUAUUAAAUAAUUGCCUUGUAUAUUUUAAUUUUUUAAUUACUAUAUUUAGUUUGUUAUUUUUUAUAUUUACUUUUAUAAAGUAUCUAUAACUAAUUCAGUUAUAUUUCUAUUUAAGUUAGAACUAAAACAAUUUAAUAUAAGUAAGAUUUUACCUAUGUGGAAAAUAGGUGUAUAUAUAGUAUUAAUAAUGAAUAUCUAAUUGUAAAAAAGAUAUAAUUAUAACACUAUUAGUUAUUUUUUUUAGAAUACCUCUAUAAGAAAUGAUGUUGAUAUAUACUUCCAAAGUUUAAUGGCUUAAUCUUGCUUUACUGUUUGACAUACACGUCUAUCAGUUGCGUAAGCAGGGCAUAAAGACCGCAAGACGCAGUAAGGAAAGGUCUUGUAUUAUUGAAAAAGCUACGCUGGGGAUAACAGGCUAAUUGCGCCAGAGAGUACAAAUUGAGUGCGCAGUUUGGCACCUCGAUGUCGGCUUAGCUCAUCCACAUGAAUGCAGGAAUCAUGAAGGGUACGACUGUUCGUCGAUUAAAGAGCUACACGAGCUGGGUUAAAUACGUCGUGAGACAGUAUGGUUUCUAUCUUCUAGAGGAAAUUGGAGUAAAAUAAGGAUAGCCCCUUCGUACGAAAGGAGUUGGGUAUGGUAACCUAUGGUUUACCUGUUGUUUAUGCGCUUAAUAUUAACCUGAUAAAUAACGGCAAGAAUAGGUUCUCCUUAAUAAGUAGAAAAUGGGUAUCUAAAGAAGAAGGAGAGUAAUAUAGAUAGAUUCAUGUGAAUUUAUUACCUAUUUGAGCUAUAGAUGGUAAUACUUUUAUACUCAAGUAUUUAUACAUAGUAUAGGCAUGGCAGGAAAGCUAUGUUAGUUAAGAUAAGUGCUGAAUGCAUCUAGGCACGAAGCUUACCUUAGGAUACUCUUAGAAACGUAGUAUAACAUUACGAAUCCAAAUUUUUCAUAGGGUUAGUGCUAGAAAAGUAGCUGCUACAGUUAACUCUAGUUCUAACAAUAUGGUUAUGGGAUUAUAGGCUUUGGCUGAAAGGGCUUUGAUGUUCUUAGGUAUAAAGUACUAAUUUAUUAUCAUUAACUAA
rfam:Bipolaris zeicola 26-R-13 unplaced genomic scaffold scaffold_581, whole genome shotgun sequence.